CCCAAAGUUAUAGCUAAGUGGGAAACGAUGUGGGAAGGCUCAGACAGCCAGGAUGUUGGCUUAGAAGCAGCCAUCAUUUAAAGAAAGCGUAAUAGCUCACUGGUCGAGUCGGCCUGCGCGGAAGAUGUAACGGGGCUAAGCUAUACACCGAAGCUGCGGCAGUGCAAUUUAUUGUGCUGGGUAGGGGAGCGUUCUGUAAGCCGUCGAAGGUGUGCUGUAAGGCAUGCUGGAGGUAUCAGAAGUGCGAAUGCUGACAUGAGUAACGAUAAAGGGGGUGAAAAACCCCCUCGCCGGAAGACCAAGGGUUCCUGUCCAACGUUAAUCGGGGCAGGGUAAGUCGACCCCUAAGGCGAGGCUGAAAAGCGUAGUCGAUGGGAAACGGGUUAAUAUUCCCGUACUUCUUAUAAUUGCGAUGGGGGGACGGAGAAGGCUAGGUGGGCUUGGCGACGGUCGUCCAAGUUCAAGUGCGUAGGCUAAGAGUUUAGGUAAAUCCGGACUCUUGUUAGGCUGAGACACGAUGUCGAGCACCUACGGGUGUGAAGCCAUUGAUGCCAUGCUUCCAGGAAAAGCCUCUAAGCUUCAGAUUAUAAGAAAUCGUACCCCAAACCGACACAGGUGGUCGAGUAGAGAAUACUAAGGCGCUUGAGAGAACUCGGGUGAAGGAACUAGGCAAAAUGGUACCGUAACUUCGGGAGAAGGUACGCUCCUAGCGGUGAUGAGACUUGCUCUCUAAGCUGCCGGGAGUCGCAGAUACCAGGUGGCUGCAACUGUUUAUUAAAAACAUAGCACUGUGCUAAAUCGUAAGAUGACGUAUACGGUGUGACGCCUGCCCGGUGCUUGAAGGUUAAUUGAUGGGGUUAGACUUCGGUCGAAGCUCUUGAUCGAAGCCCAAGUAAACGGCGGCCGUAACUAUAACGGUCCUAAGGUAGCGAAAUUCCUUGUCGGGUAAGUUCCGACCUGCACGAAUGGCGUAAUGAUGGCCACGCUGUCUCCACCCGAGACUCAGUGAAAUUGAAAUCGCUGUGAAGAUGCAGUGUACCCGCGGCUAGACGGAAAGACCCCGUGAACCUUUACUACAGCUUGGCACUGAACAUUGACCCUACAUGUGUAGGAUAGGUGGGAGCCUUUGAAACCAGUACGCUAGUAUUGGUGGAGGCAAUCUUGAAAUACCACCCUUGUAUGCUUGAUGUUCUAACGUUGGCCCCUUAUCGGGGUUGCGGACAGUGCCUGGUGGGUAGUUUGACUGGGGCGGUCUCCUCCCAAAGAGUAACGGAGGAGCACGAAGGUGGGCUAAACACGGUUGGACAUCGUGUGGUUAGUGCAAUGGCAUAAGCCCGCUUGACUGCGAGAAUGACAAUUCGAGCAGGUGCGAAAGCAGGUCAUAGUGAUCCGGUGGUUCUGAAUGGAAGGGCCAUCGCUCAACGGAUAAAAGGUACUCCGGGGAUAACAGGCUGAUACCGCCCAAGAGUUCAUAUCGACGGCGGUGUUUGGCACCUCGAUGUCGGCUCAUCACAUCCUGGGGCUGAAGUCGGUCCCAAGGGUAUGGCUGUUCGCCAUUUAAAGUGGUACGCGAGCUGGGUUUAGAACGUCGUGAGACAGUUCGGUCCCUAUCUGCCGUGGGCGUUGGAUGAUUGAAAGGGGCUGCUCCUAGUACGAGAGGACCGGAGUGGACGAACCUCUGGUGUUCGGGUUGUUACGCCAGUAGCAUUGCCCGGUAGCUAAGUUCGGGAUCGAUAAACGCUGAAAGCAUCUAAGCGUGAAGCGAGCCUUGAGAUGAGUCAUCCCUGAUACUUUAAGUAUCCUAAAGGGUUGU
rnacentral:rRNA from 1 species